GGAAGUUAAUAUAACUGUGCAAUCCCAUUGGUUUAAUUCAUCUGGUUACCUGUUUAUUUAUACUAGUUACCAGUAACCAGGAAAAUGUGACCAAUGGGAUUGCACAGUUAUAUUAACUUCCUAAGUUUU
rnacentral:sRNA from 1 species